GAAAUGCGAUAAGUAAUGUGAAUUGCAGAAUUCAGUGAAUCAUCGAAUUUUUGAACGCAUAUUGCGCCCUUUGGCAUUCCGAAGGGCAUACCUGUUCGAGCGUCAUUACACCCCUCAAACCUCGGUUUGAUGUUGGGCACUGCCUAGCGGUGGCAUGCCUAAAAUUCAGUGAUGGUUGCUUAACCGGCCACAGGCGCACAAGUGUCGCAAUGUGAAAAGUUAGGCACCAGACCCCCGUAUCGUAGAUACAAUUCUGAAUGUUGACCUCGGAUCAGGUAGGGAUACCCGCUGAACUUAA
rnacentral:misc_RNA from 1 species